rnacentral:rRNA from 1 species
GAUGAACGCUGGCGGCGUGCCUAAUACAUGCAAGUCGAGCGAACGGACGAGAAGCUUGCUUCUCUGAUGUUAGCGGCGGACGGGUGAGUAACACGUGGAUAACCUACCUAUAAGACUGGGAUAACUUCGGGAAACCGGAGCUAAUACCGGAUAAUAUUUUGAACCGCAUGGUUCAAAAGUGAAAGACGGUCUUGCUGUCACUUAUAGAUGGAUCCGCGCUGCAUUAGCUAGUUGGUAAGGUAACGGCUUACCAAGGCAACGAUGCAUAGCCGACCUGAGAGGGUGAUCGGCCACACUGGAAAUGAGAAACGGGCCAGAACCCUACGGGAGGCAGAAGUAGGGAAUUUUCCGAAAGGGGGGAAAGCCUGAGGGAGAAACGCGGGGUGAGGGAUGAAGGGCUUCGGAUGGUAAAACUUUUUUAUUAGGGAAGAAAAAAUGGGAAAGUAACUGGGAAAAUCUUGACGGUACCAAAUAAGAAAGCCACGGCUAACUACGU